UUCUUUCCCAGUGCCUCUUGGAUAGUGGGCACAUGUGGCCCUAAGUGUGCCAGAUGUACUUUAAGAGCCUGCUCCAAGAGCACCCUCAGCAGAGCUCCCAGCUGGGUUCAGGAGAAGGCUAACAGUCCUCCUGUGAAUAGGACAGCUGCCUGAUUGAAGAGAUGGCAAGGUUGUGAGAGAAUUGAAAAAUAAGCCCCCCUUCGACCCUGGAAAAUAUCAUCUCCCAAAUUUGUGAGGGAAUCUAAAUGAAAUCCCUCUUAAGCUGCCACUCAGAUCUGGGCAGCAGGUGGGGGUCUUAGUUCUUUUUCUAUAACAAAAUAGUUGGUAUGAGGUAAUUUAUAAAGAAAAGAUUUUGAUUGAUUCAUGGCUCUGGAGGCUGGAAAGUUCACAAGCACAUGCCAGCAUCUGCUCAGCAUCUGGUGAGGAGGGCCUUCUUGCUGUAUCAUAAAUGGUGGAAGCCAUCACACAAACAAGGAGCAAGAAAGCCAAAGAAAGCUCACUUUUUUCCUAUUGGUGCAUUAUAAUUAUAGAAAAUAGUGGAAUUCAUUAUGCCAUCAUAUAUACACAUGAUAUAAUUUGCUCAGUCUCCUUCACCAGGAGUACUUUCCUUUCCCUCCCCUUUUCCCUUGCCCUGAUCUACUUGCUCUGCUGCUCCCAAGAUAACCCAUUAACCAUUGAUCAAUGAGUGGGGUUCAUCUAGAGCCCUCAUAGCCCAAUCUCCUCCCAAAAGUCUUCCCACAAAUCAACAUUGCUAUAUUGAGAACCAUGUUUCCAAUAAAUGCACUUUUGGGGGGACACAUUUGAACUAUAGGAGGUAGUAAUUUCCAAGUGAAAGCAAGUUGAAAAAUGUAUGCACUAAACUUUACAGAUGCUCAUUUGCCUAGGUAUUCUUGAGAAUGAAUGUUUAAGUUC
rnacentral:lncRNA from 1 species